rnacentral:lncRNA from 1 species
UGUCUUCCACUUUCCAAGCCAACUCGCUUCAGCAGUAGUACCGCUUCACCGUCUUCAUUUCUUCUGAUCUCCAUGGCUGUCUCGGUGAGAGAUAUCUUGACCUUCCACAAGCGUGAUCGCAGAGCGUACGAGAAGGUUAUUGCCGUUGGAAGAAUCCCUGAGAUUGCUCGGAACAUCGUCGCGCUCUUUCUGUGGCUAGAGCUAAUCGGCAUCGACGUCAUCAC